UUGAAAGGGAAACGAUUGAAGUCCAGUCGGACCUGUGAGGAUCAGCCUUUUGGGUGUGAUUAUGUGGAGUGUGAGGAGUUAAACGCCUUCAUGCCUGCAUAUUCGUGCACUUUGGGUGUAUUUACCCGUGUGGUAGGUUAACAUCAAUUUCGGUGGUCAUAAAAUGGCUGGAGGAAUGUAGCUUCGAUCUUGUAUUGAAGUGUUAUAGCCUUCGGUAGAUGUGAUGAUCGGGAUUGAGGAUUGCAACGGAUACCCCUCGGGGCUACCUGUCUGAUCUCUGAUCGUUGCUCUGGUGCCGAAAGCUUGCUUACGGUUAUCAAAGUCGAUGGUUAAUAGGUUAGAACGGGUUAAAUUCGUUAAGGAUGUUGACGUA
rnacentral:rRNA from 1 species